UUGUGGGGGGGGGCCUGCUAUUACAUGCAAGUCGAGCGAUGGAUUGAGAGCUUGCUCUCAAGAAGUUAGCGGCGGACGGGUGAGUAACACGUGGGUAACCUGCCCAUAAGACUGGGAUAACUCCGGGAAACCGGGGCUAAUACCGGAUAAUAUUUUGAACUGCAUGGUUCGAAAUUGAAAGGCGGCUUCGGCUGUCACUUAUGGAUGGACCCGCGUCGCAUUAGCUAGUUGGUGAGGUAACGGCUCACCAAGGCAACGAUGCGUAGCCGACCUGAGAGGGUGAUCGGCCACACUGGGACUGAGACACGGCCCAGACUCCUACGGGAGGCAGCAGUAGGGAAUCUUCCGCAAUGGACGAAAGUCUGACGGAGCAACGCCGCGUGAGUGAUGAAGGCUUUCGGGUCGUAAAACUCUGUUGUUAGGGAAGAACAAGUGCUAGUUGAAUAAGCUGGCACCUUGACGGUACCUAACCAGAAAGCCACGGCUAACUACGUGCCAGCAGCCGCGGUAAUACGUAGGUGGCAAGCGUUAUCCGGAAUUAUUGGGCGUAAAGCGCGCGCAGGUGGUUUCUUAAGUCUGAUGUGAAAGCCCACGGCUCAACCGUGGAGGGUCAUUGGAAAACUGGGAGACUUGAGUGCAGAAGAGGAAAGUGGAAUUCCAUGUGUAGCGGUGAAAUGCGUAGAGAUAUGGAGAACACCAGUGGCGAAGCGACUUUCUGGUCUGUAACUGACAACUGAAGCGCGGAAGCGUGGGGGAGCAAACAGGAUUAGAAAACCCUGGUAGUCCACGCCGUAAACGAUGAUGCUAAGUGGUUAAAGGUUUCCGCCCUUUAAUGCCUGAAGUAACGCAUUAAGCACUCCGCCUGGGAGUACCGCGCAAGCUGAACUCAAAGGAAUGACGGGGCGCACAAACGGUGGAGCAUGUGUAAUCGAGCACCGCGAGACUACCAGGCCUGACAUCCUCUGGAAACCUAAGAGAUAGGCUUCUCCUCGAACAAAUGACAUGUCCAUGAUUUCUCACCUCCUGUCCUGGAAGUUAGGUCGUCGACAGGCAACCUGACUAUGCUCUACUGACCUAAGAGUCCUGCAACCGUGAU
rnacentral:rRNA from 1 species